rnacentral:rRNA from 1 species
GACGAACCGAGCGAACGUUGUUCGGAAUCACUGGGCUUAAAGGGCGCGUAGGCGGGUGCUCAAGUCCGGGGUGAAAUCCUCCAGCUCAACUGGAGAACUGCCUCGGAUACUGGGCGUCUCGAGUGUGGUAGGGGUAUGCGGAACUAUUGGUGGAGCGGUGAAAUGCGUUGAUAUCGAUAGGAACUCCGGUGGCGAAGGCGGCAUACUGGACCACCACUGACGCUGAUGCGCGAAAGCCAGGGGAGCAAACGGG